AGAGUUUGAUCAUGGCUCAGAACGAACGCUGGCGGCGUGGAUAAGACAUGCAAGUCGAGCGAGAUUUUUUUCUGUAGCAAUACAGGGAAAAGUCUAGCGGCGAACGGGUGCGUAACACGUGGGCAACCUGCCAAGAAGUGGGGGAUAGCUCGCCGAAAGGCGAAUUAAUACCGCAUGUGAUGAGAGUGGACAUCCAUUCAAAAUCAAAGUCGGGGCAACCUGACGCUUCUUGAGGGGCCCGCGGCCUAUCAGCUAGUUGGUGAGGUAACGGCCCACCAAGGCUUAGACGGGUAGCUGGUCUGAGAGGACGACCAGCCACACUGGGACUGAGACACGGCCCAGACACCUACGGGUGGCAGCAGUCGAGAAUUUUUCUCAAUGGGGGAAACCCUGAAGGAGCGACGCCGCGUGGAGGAUGAAGGUCUUCGGAUUGUAAACUCCUGUCAUUGGGGAACAAUGCGUAAAUAUUAACUGUAUUUGCGUUGAUAGUACCCGAAGAGGAAGAGACGGCUAACUCUGUGCCAGCAGCCGCGGUAAUACAGAGGUCUCAAGCGUUGUUCGGAUUCAUUGGGCGUAAAGGGUGCGUAGGCGGCGCGGUAAGUCGGGUGUGAAAUCUCGGGGCUUAACUCCGAAACUGCAUUCGAUACUGCCGUGCUUGAGGACUGGAGAGGAGACUGGAAUUUACGGUGUAGCGGUGAAAUGCGUAGAUAUCGUAAGGAAGACCAGUGGCGAAGGCGGGUCUCUGGACAGUUCCUGACGCUGAGGCACGAAGGCCAGGGGAGCAAACGGGAUUAGAUACCCUAGUAGUCC
rnacentral:rRNA from 1 species